UGGGGAAUAUUGGACAAUGGGCGCAAGCCUGAUCCAGCCAUACCGCGUGGGUGAAGAAGGCCUUCGGGUUGUAAAGCCCUUUUGUUGGGAAAGAAAUCCUAUCGGUUAAUAACCGGUGGGGAUGACGGUACCCAAAGAAUAAGCACCGGCUAACUUCGUGCCAGCAGCCGCGGUAAUACGAAGGGUGCAAGCGUUACUCGGAAUUACUGGGCGUAAAGCGUGCGUAGGUGGUGGUUUAAGUCUGCUGUGAAAGCCCUGGGCUCAACCUGGGAAUUGCAGUGGAUACUGGAUCACUAGAGUGUGGUAGAGGGAUGCGGAAUUUCUGGUGUAGCAGUGAAAUGCGUAGAGAUCAGAAGGAACAUCCGUGGCGAAGGCGGCAUCCUGGGCCAACACUGACACUGAGGUACGAAAGCGUGGGGAGCAAACAG
rnacentral:rRNA from 1 species